rnacentral:rRNA from 1 species
UACGUAGGGGGCAAGCGUUGUCCGGAAUUAUUGGGCGUAAAGAGCUCGUAGGCGGUUUGUUGCGUCGGCUGUGAAAUCCCGAGGCUCAACCUCGGGUCUGCAGUCGAUACGAGCAAACUAGAGUGUUGCAGGGGAGACUGGAAUUCCUGGUGUAGCGGUGAAAUGCGCAGAUAUCAGGAGGAACACCGGUGGCGAAGGCGGGUCUCUGGGCAACAACUGACGCUGAGGAGCGAAAGCGUGGGGAGCGAACGGG